CGGACGGGUGAGUAAUGUAUGGGGAUCUGCCUGAUGGGGGGGGAUAACUACUGGAAACGGUAGCUAAUACCGCAUAAUGUCUGCGGACCAAAGCGGGGGACCUCCGGGCCUCGCGCCAUCAGAUGAACCCAUAUGGGAUUAGCUUGUAGGUAAGGUAACGGCUUACCUAGGCGACGACCCCUAGCUGGUCUGAGAGGAUGAUCAGCCACACUGGGACUGAGACACGGCCCAG
rnacentral:rRNA from 1 species